UACGGAGGGGGCUAGCGUUGUUCGGAAUUACUGGGCGUAAAGCGUACGUAGGCGGCUUUGUAAGUUAGAGGUGAAAGCCUGGUGCUCAACACCAGAACUGCCUUUAAGACUGCAUCGCUUGAACGUCGGAGAGGUGAGUGGAAUUCCGAGUGUAGAGGUGAAAUUCGUAGAUAUUGGGAAGAACACCGGUGGCGAAGGCGGCUAUCUGGACCGUAACUGACGCUGAGGCGCGAAAGCGUGGGGAGCAAACAGG
rnacentral:rRNA from 1 species